CAACUCUUUUUAUUAUAAAAGUUUGAAAUUUAAUGAGAGUGUUAGGAUUGUAAUAUGGGGUAUUGAAUUGUUUGGAUUUCUACUGUUCCCCAUCCAUUGCAUAGCAGUCCACAGGUAAGUACUGUUUUUCCAAACUUACAUUUGAAUUUACAACUCCUACAGUCCCAAAAGUGCAUUUAUCUGUAUUUUUCUGUGGUCACUGAAAUCUAUGAUAUAUGGGCGAAUUAGUUGGUCCUUAAUUAGACACCUUUAUUCUUUGCAUUGCUUUAUUUCACUGGAGGCCUGAACUUUGAGUUUAUAAGUUUUCUGUAUUGUAGAAAUGGAAUUGAGGCCAGGGAAUACAGAAGACUGGUGUAAUAUAUGGGAUGCAAAUGUAUUAUAGACCAUUGUUAUGUUUUAAUGUAACAUUCAAACAUUUAUUAGAGUACAUCAGAAGUAAUUAUACUAUAAACAAACUGGAUGUAUUCCAGUUAAUGAGCUCGUUCUCAAUGAUAGGUAAAUGGGAUUACUGUGCUUGGGGUUGAGAUUAGGAAACAUAAACUUUUUUUUUUUUUUUAAAUCUGGGCAUCCGUGGUUCACAAAAUGGGCUUUGCUUUGGAACAAAUUUUUCUAAAAGUGGAUUUUAUCAUUUAGUAGGUAAGCGGGAAUACUAUUGCAUAGUAGGGAGCAAUAAACUGUUUUGGUUUAACAGAAUGGAAAUUCUGAUGAUGUUAGAGCUUCAGCCUUGUCUGGUGACUGGGGUGGCCUGUGCUUUGGAUGAGAGUGAAGCAGAGGUGCUUCAUCUUUUUCAGGUGAGUUUGCGGUAAAAGUUUUGGGUGGAGCAAUUGAUUGCUUUGUGUGUGUUUGUACUGUUUCAGGUUGUUUUAAAGGCUACAGACUUUUCACUCUUGGAAGGUGAGUGGAGAUACUGUUUCUUCUCUUAGGGGUGCAGGACAAGACAUAUUGCAGGCCAUGAUAGGAAUGGCAGGAACUUUAACUUUGGAUGAAUCCUGGUUUUGAAAAGCUCAAGUGGUGGCAUUUUAUCUGUGCCAGACUGAACCCCAAUGAGCUCAAAACUCCUGUUCCAGAGCAAAACCAUUGUUGGUCCCUGGUGUUGGGGAAAAGUCUACAGCAGUUAAAUGUAAUCUUGGACAGCUGGUGCUUAUGAUUGGUUUGUGAGUAGAGUAAAUGUGAAAUGAUAUGAGGCUCUUCAGCCCGGUAUCAAUUUGUCUUUACAGGUAUUUGUUUGGAAAACUUCUGGCUCCUGUGGUACUUUAGCCUUCACAUCUUACUUGGGAUCCUUUUUCUUUUGGUAAGUAUGAGUAGAUGAACAAUUUCGCUAUGGUUACAUUAUUAAGCACCAGUAUUUUUGUUCUUACAGAUGUACCACUGCGGCCAUGUGAUUUGCAGACUGGGAUUUUCAUCCUCGGCAGGUUAUUUGGUAUCCUGUUUACAUUGGUCGGUAACUGUGGAUGGACAAAGUAUAAGUUUUUCAUUUUGGCAAGCAUCUGGCUGCUGUGGUACUCUAGCCUUGCAUCUUUCUUGGGAUUUUGUUUUAUUUGGUAGGUAUCACUGGAUGGCCUAAUUAUCCUUCAGCCAGAGUAUCUUUGUUGUGCAGGUGAUCAGAUGUGCAUUGAUCAGAGAUAUUUCAGCUUCAAUUUGUCAUAGAUUAUCUUGGUUUGGAAAGUAACUGGAAUCUGUGCUACUUCAGCUUUGACAGAUUACUUGGGAUCCUUUUGGUAGGUACAAGUGGAUUCACUAAAUCAUCAUGGUGUUGUCAUUCUUCAGCCUUGGCAUCUUUCCUGGGAUUCUAUGUAUCAUUUGGUAGGUAUGAGUGGAUGGAGAAAUGUAUUUUGGUGUUGUCAUACUGCAUUCAGGGCUUUGAUGUAGGAAAUCUAGCAGCAGAUGAUGGUAACCUUAAACUGCUGGAGCCUGGGAUAUGUGAACAGAGGAACGGAUGUGCAUGAAUUAAGACAGAUUCUUCAGCCUUUUCGUGUUUUGGAAAAUAUUGCUGUGAUACUUAAGCCUUGACCUCUUUCCUGGGAUCCUAUUUCAUUUGGUAAUUGAUGUAGAAAUGUAUUUUUGUGUUGUCAUUCUUCAUCUUCAAUGUUUUUGCAGGUCUUCCUUUUCGGCAAUCUGCCCACUGUGUGGUACAUCAGCCUUGGAAUUUUACUUGGGGUCCUGUUUCCUUUGGUAGGUAUCAGGGUGUGACCAUUCACUAUGUUAUUAUUUUAUUCUUUAGCCCAUGCAUCUUUCUUUCCAGGUUGGUCCCCAUUGUAGAAAAGGUCUAGUAGCAGAUGCAGGUCAUAUUGGACUGUUGGAGACUGUGAUUGGCAUGUGAGUAAAGGAAUAGAUGUACAUGAAUUAAGAGAUUCUUCAGCCUUUUCAUUUAUCUAUUUACAGGUUUUUGCGAUUUGGCAAAUCUCACUUUGAUCCUUCAGACUUGGCAUCUUACAUGAGAUACUAUUUCCUUUGGUAGGUAUGAGUUGAUGGAAUUAUUUUGCUGUAGUCAUUCUUGAGCCAGGGCAUCCUUGCUUUUACAGGUUGGGCUUUGGUUUAGCAAGUCUAGCAGCAAAUGCAGGGAACUGGUGGACUGCUGGAGUCUGUGACCCAUGUGAGAGUAAAGGAAUUGAUGUGCAUGGAUAAGGAUAGUUCAGCCUUUUCAUUGAUUUUUACAGGUCAUCCUCCAUCCUCUGGAAAACGUCUGCCCACUGUAUUACUUCAGCCUGGGCAUUAUUCUUGGGAUCUU